UCAGAGGGCAGCUCCACCUCCCAGCUCAGAGCCUGGAAUUACCUGACAGGGAGAAAUCCCAACCUGCAGCACUGAAGGACAGCUGUUUGGCACAGGCACAGCUGCUGCCUCCCCCCAAAAAGGGGCUCUGAGCCCCUCGGGGAAGCAGCCAGGGAAUGGGUGCUGACAGCACCGACCCCAACCCAGCUGCAGGAACCACUCCCAGACCCCAGCACCUCCCAGAGCAUCUCCCGGGCCCUGCAAGAGCGAGUCCAGAACAUCUCCUCCCCUCUCAGAUGACAGCCUGGGGACAGCCAGAGCUCAUGGAAGGAGCAGACACUGGUGAAGGGAGGCAGGGCCCAGGGUGGAAGCCUCCCUCAGCACGGAGCCAGCAGCCACAGCCCCAGGCGGCCCAGCUCUACCUGGAAGAACCUGAGGAGAGCAAAGAGCAGAUUUGGAGCUGUUUGCAGCUCCCAUCUCCCAGUGCCAGCCUUCCCCAGAGCCCAGCGGGCAGUGCCACCGCCGGCACUCACCGCAGGGCACAUGGCAGUCGCACUCGCAGAUGUCACAGCGCCGGAACCAGCGGGGCCAGCCGGACACUUUGGUGACACAGGCCGAGAUCUUGAUGCAGCCGCUGUUGAGGGACGUUCCCAGGGAGGUUCCCAGGAGCUCCUGGCUGCCACAGGACGAGGAGCAGCGGCCGCUGAUGUCCCACUCGCUGAGCUGGAUGCGGCCGCGCAGGCAGAUCCCUGCGGGGGCAGAAACCAUCUCGGGGGUGUUAAGGGUAAUAAACAUAAUUUGUGCCA